GACGAACGCUGGCGGCGUGCCUAAUACAUGCAAGUUGAGCGCUGAAGGUUGGUACUUGUACCGACUGGAUGAGCAGCGAGCGGGUGAGUAACGCGUGGGGAAUCUGCCUUUGAGCGGGGGACAACAUUUGGAAACGAAUGCUAAUACCGCAUAAAAACUUUAAACACAAGUUUUAAGUUUGAAAGAUGCAAUUGCAUCACUCAAAGAUGAUCCCGCGUUGUAUUAGCUAGUUGGUGAGGUAAAGGCUCACCAAGGCGAUGAUACAUAGCCGACCUGAGAGGGUGAUCGGCCACAUUGGGACUGGGACACGGCCCAAACUCCUACGGGAGGCAGCAGUAGGGAAUCUUCGGCAAUGGACGAAAGUCUGACCGAGCAACGCCGCGUGAGUGAAGAAGGGUUUCGGAUCGUAAAACUCUGUUGGUAGAGAAGAACGUUGGUGAGAGUGGAAAGCUCAUCAAGUGACGGUAACUACCCAGAAAGGGACGGCUAACUACGUG
rnacentral:rRNA from 1 species